AGAAAAUUGUGUAUCUGUACCUAGUGUAAAUUUAUUCGAUGGGGAGACGUGACGUACGCGUUUGCGUUAACUGUCAUUUUGUAUGGAAUUUUGAGUUUCCAAAACAUCCCCUUGGCGCGCUGUUUCUAAAUCCCUUAGCACCACUUGCACCAUUUCACUAACUCGGGGUUAACUGGUUAACCCUGGAGUUACCAUGUUACCAGUACAAUUUCACAUUGGGUUAACGGUUUAACCGGUUAACCCCGGGUUAUUGGAAUGGGGCAAGUGCAUGUUAGUAAAUGUACUAAGAUCACGACCACAGAAUAAAUAGUUCAUGACUAAGUUAAUAUACCUAUCAUAAUGUAAAUAAUAAAAACCGGCCAAGAGCAUGUCGGGCCACGCUCAGUGUAGGGUUCCGUAGUUACUCUUUCGUCACAAUAAGCUAAACUGGAGCUUAAAGUAUAGUAAAUUGUUAACCAAGGGAUGAAACGGUACCUUUCACCCGAGUUAAACAAAUAGGCAAAUUUGCAUAAUCAGUACAAUUAAAGUAAGUCUUUUUACUAUGAAGGGAAAACUUUUUGCGAUAACUCAAAAACAACUAAACUGAUCAUGUCCGCUAUAGUUUUCAUUUAAUGUCUUUCAUAAGUUCUACUUCCACGAUUUUUUUCAUAUUUUUAGGACCUAUAGUUCAAAAGUUAGAGGGGGGGGACACAUUUAUUUUUUCUUUCGGAGCAAUUAUCUCCGAAUAUAUUCACUUUAUCAAAAAAUGUUUCUUGAAAACCCCUAUUAGUUUUGAAAGACCUUUCCAACGAUACUCCACACUCUAGGGUUGAAGCGAAAAAAAAAUUUCACCCCCACUUUACGUGUAGGGGAGGUACCCUAAAAAAAAUUAAAUUUUUAGAUUUUACUGUACGACUUUGUCGGCUUUAUUGAUUUAUAUAUUCAUGCCAAAUUUCAGCUUUCUAGCACUAACGACCACGGAGCAAAGCCUCGGACAGACAGACAGACAGACAGACAGACGGACAUGGCGAAACUAUAAGGGUUCCUAGUUGACUACGGAACCCUAAAAAGGCAUAAGCAAGGGGGAAGUUUCGUUAGUUGUUCAGAUGAUUAAGUAUUAUGUAACCAAAAAAUAAUAAUUUCAGGUGACUCGGGGUAUGCUCUUGAGCCAUGGCUCAUGACGCCAGUGCUGAAUCCUGCCCCGGGAAGCCCAGAAGCAAGGUAGGUACACGGUCUGGCACUGUCGCGUGCGCAACACGAUCAAGCGUACCAAUGGGUACCUCAAAAACGUAUUCCGGUGCCUGGGCCACGACCGCGUCUUACACUACAGCCCGACGAAGGCAUCGUCAAUAAUAAAUGCAUGUUGCGUAGUAUACAACAUAAUGCAACAUUAUAGAAAUGUUCCCGAGGAAAUCGUAGGAGAUAUUGAUGAAGACGCUCCUCAAGAACUUCCUCAUCGUCAUGCGCAAAACGGACUACUAUUAAGAGUGGCGCAGGAAAAGCGUGCGCGUCUAAUAAAUACAUAUUUUGCUUA